AUGGUGGGACCAUUCAAAACAGCACGAGGCGGCCUAACUCACUUACUUGUCACGGUGGACAAAUUCACCAAGUGGAUAGAAGUAAAGCCCAUCAAGAAGUUGAAUGGUCCGACUGCAGUAACUUUCAUCGCCGACAUCACGACUCGGUACGGCAUACCACACAACAUCAUCACCGACAAUGGCACAAAUUUCGCCAAAGGUGCCUUGGCUCAUUUCUGCGCGAUACAGGGCAUCCGACUGGACUUAGCGUUCGUUGCCCAUCCGCAGUCAAACGGCCAAGUAGAGCGAGCAAACAGCCUCAUCCUGUCCGGCAUCAAGCCUCGGCUGGUCGAACCACUGGAGCAUUCGGCCGGCUGUUGGCUUGACGAGUUGCCAGCCGUCCUCUGGAGUCUGCGCACGACUCCAAACAAGUCAACCGGCUUCACACCUUUCUUCCUCGUCUAUGGUGCUGAAGCCGUCAUCCAGACGGACAUAGAGUUUGACUCCCCGCGAGUCACCAUGUACACCGAGGAGGAAGCAGAAGAAGCACGUCAAGACGGUGUCGAUCUGCUGGAAGAGGGCCGACUGUUGGCACUCAGCCGGUCCAGCAUCUACCAGCAGAGCCUGCGCCGAUACUACAACAGGAAGGUCAGGCCGAGAUCUUUCCAAGAGGGCGACCUUGUGCUCUGA
rnacentral:rRNA from 1 species